rnacentral:misc_RNA from 1 species
GUAAAAAGAGCCUACAUCAGAGAUUAAAAUUACAGUGCUUGAUAAUGCCAAACAUCUUCUAUGCACAUACUGCAGUGUACUUAAUAACUGUUGUAUGGAAGUAUAAUUGUACAACUGCUUAAUUUCACUCAAAUUUUUAAUUCUCAGGCACAGCUUUUAAAUUUUGUUUCCUGCUGCAUCUAGCAGUACAAAUAACUGAAGUAUUGUCAAAUUUAAAAAUGUUGUAUAGCGACUUUACACUUGGUGGCAGAGAGUUCCUGUACUUAUUCAUUAUAUCAGCAAUGCUUAAUUUAACCAUGAUUCUGAAUCAGCUUUGUGAUGUAUUUUCUAAAUUCAUGCAUGCCCUAAAAUAAUUGGCGGGUUCAUUUCUGAGUCACUUGAGAAUAAUUUGAUAUUUAAUUAUUUGAUAUAUUAUUUCAGAGUUUCAGAAAGUACA